GAGAGAGAGUUAUAAACCAUAGUAGCUACAUACCGCGCUGAGAGAGAGGCGGAGAGGCGCGCAAUGGAGAAAGCGCUAGCAGAGGUCGAGCGAGUUCAAACCCAGAUCCUCCGACGUAUAUCAAAACUAGAGCUCUCUUGCUCGCCCCAGGACCUAUCUACUGCCCUCCCUGUCCCUGUUCACGCAUUCGGCGACACCGAAGCUCGCCUCUCUGCCAUCCUCCGAACGAACGGCGUAAACGACUUCUCCUUCAAGAAGGUCCCCUCCGAUUACUACGACUGGCCCCUCGACUCCCGACGAGACUCCCUCGGCGCCGCCUCGGUCGAGCAUCUCUGCAAAAGCAUCGUCCUGGUUAACACUCAAGCCCAGUCGAAUGUUAUUGAUUGUAGUGAUCGAAACAAUUCAAAGUAUUAUGUUGUUGUUGUUCAGUAUACUGCUCGAUUCAAUGCUGAAACUGUUAAAAACUUUCUGUAUUCGCUCAACGAUGGCAAGAUAGCUAAAAAGAAAUUCAACUUGAGGCUUGCUCCUGAGGAGACGUCAGUAAAUUUAACUGGAUAUGAGCACAAUGCAGUGACAUGUAUUGGCAUGAAAACAGACAUUCCGGUGAUUUUGGAUGAAGCAAUUGUAAAACUUCAUCCUGAUUUCUUCUGGUUGGGUGGUGGGGAGGUUGAUCUGAAGCUGGGGAUCCGGACCUCUGAAUUUAUCAACUUUGUUAAACCUCUCAUCGUGAGAUGUAGUGGUGCUUGAUUACUUGACAUGAAUCAUUAUCAAAUCAAUUAAAGCUCAAGUAAUCUAAAAUCACCCCCUUGUGGAGUCUGAAGGGAGGCCAUUCUUCAAUUCCUGCAAAAUAUGCAACAAGAAGCUUUUCCUAUUGAGAGGUGGUUGACUCACUCACUAAAUGCAUAUGGGAUGAAGGCUUCACUGCAUAACAACUUCUUCUUUCUUCUUCAUUUCUCUCAUCUCAUAGAAUUCCCCCAUCUUUUUAUUCAAGUGAAAAACAAGAGUCAAACUAACAUUUAAUGGAGAAGUUGACACGUAAUGUACGGCCUCCUUCAUUUAAGAAGAAUACCAACCACCUUAUUUACAACGAUG